rnacentral:rRNA from 1 species
CCUACGGGUGGCAGCAGUGAGGAAUAUUGGUCAAUGGACGAGAGUCUGAACCAGCCAAGUAGCGUGAAGGAUGACUGCCCUAUGGGUUGUAAACUUCUUUUAUAAAGGAAUAAAACGAGGCACGUGUGCCUUUUUGCAUGUACUUUAUGAAUAAGGAUCGGCUAACUCCGUGCCAGCAGCCGCGGUAAUACGGAGGAUCCGAGCGUUAUCCGGAUUUAUUGGGUUUAAAGGGAGCGUAGAUGGGUUGUUAAGUCAGUUGUGAAAGUUUGCGGCUCAACCGUAAAAUUGCAAUUGAUACUGGCAGUCUAGAGUACAGUUGAGGUAGGCGGAAUGCGUGGUGUAGCGGUGAAAUGCUUAGAUAUCACGAAGAACCCCGAUUGCGAAGGCAGCUUACUAAACUGUGACUGACAUUGAUGCUCGAAAGUGUGGGUAUCAAACAGGAUUAGAUACCCUAGUAGUC